GACAGUGUGGUGUAGUGGUUAGAGUGCCAGACUAGGACCUGGGAGACCAGGGUUCAAAUCCCUGCUCACUUGGUGACCU